GACGAACGCUGGCGGCGUGCUUAACACAUGCAAGUCGAACAGAAAGGCCCUGCUUUUGUGGGGUGCUCGAGUGGCGAACGGGUGAGUAACACGUGAGUAACCUGCCCUUGACUUUGGGAUAACUUCAGGAAACUGGGGCUAAUACCGGAUAGGAGCUCCUGCUGCAUGGUGGGGGUUGGAUAGUUUCGGCGGUUGGGGAUGGGCUCGCGGCUUAUCAGCUUGUUGGUGGGGUAGUGGCUUACCAAGGCUUUGACGGGUAGCCGGCCUGAGAGGGUGACCGGCCACAUUGGGACUGAGAUACGGCCCAGACUCCUACGGGGGGAAGCAGUGGGGAAUAUUGCACAAUGGGCGGAAGCCUAAUGCAGCAACGCCGCGUGCGGGAUGACGGCCUUCGGGUUGUAAACCGCUUUCGCCUGUGACGAAGCGUGAGUGACGGUAAUGGGUAAAGAAGCACCGGCUAACUACGUG
rnacentral:rRNA from 1 species